UCAGAAAAAGAAAAUAAGUCAUCUCUUUUAUUGCCUACGCUGGUCCGCAUAGAGGCGCUCAAUUCCCCCAAAUCCCCCAACCCCCCUUCUCGCCGGCGGUGCCUACUCCGAUCCCGGGCUGAGUUUCUCCGGCCACCGCCGCCCUCAUCCCCGUACCCAAGGAGGUUCCGGCGUCGAUGCGGACUCGCGUAUCCAGUCGCAGCCGCGGGCCACCACCACGCGCCUGCACCGCAUCUACUCAUCGUCGCCCGGCGGAAGCGAGCUUCACCGUGGCCAGGAGGCGUCGCGCGGACCGUCUCCUGCGCCGGCAGCCGCGGAAGCAGGCAGAUCCCGGCGAGGACCGUGUCAGCGCCCUCCCCGACGACCUCCUCCUCCUCGUCCUGCGUCGCCUCGACACCCGCGCGGCGCUCGGCGCCGGGCUGCUCUCCAAGCGCUGGGCUGGCCUCCCCCGCGAGCUCCCCGCCCUCGACCUCAGGGUCAGCGACGUACUCCCGCCGCGCUACCGGCGGUGGCUCCUCCGCUACCGUGACAUCUUCAGCAGCGGAACCUUUGUGAUGUACAGGCAUCGCCUCGCGCAUCACGAGUUCGUGCCCGGCAUGACGAGGUACGAGCGCCGCGCCAUGCGCGCCUUCACCAGCUCCGUCGAGGGCCUCCUGGCCGCCCGAGCUCGCCGGAGGGUCAGCAGCCUCAGGGUCGAGUUCUUCAUCACGCGCAACACCGGCUGCGCAUCAACCGGCUGAUUUCCCAGGCCAUGGAUGCUUGGGGUGUCGAUGACCUCGAGGUCAUCGCCCGGCCGACAUUCCUGCAGCAGACCGUGCACGCCUUCCCUGGCCAUGGCCUCUGCUCCUCGCCCCGGUUGUCACGCCUGCAAAACCUCAAGCUUGGGGGCUGUGUCAUCCCGCAUCUGCUGCAUGAGUACCACGCGCUCACUAGGCUCGUCCUGCAAGACGUUGCCGAGUCACCCCCGGCCGCCUACGAGGGCGUCUUCGACGCGUGCCCGCAGCUGCAGGUGGUGCACCUCAACUCCUGUCUCUGCGGCGGCAGGGACAUGGUCAUGGUUGUGGAUGCCCCCAGCUCGCAGAUCAGGGAGUUCGUCGUGGACAAGUGUGAAAUAGGAUCAAUAUGGUUGAGGGAUCUUCCCAAUCUGGAGCGUCUGGCCUCCCUGGGCACACACCUGUUCUUUGAGUCCACCGCAUUCCCUUGCCUAAGGCAAUGGAGCCUCGCCCGCCGCCACGGUGUCUCCUUGGAUGGGUUUCGACAACACUUUCGGCAGCACCUGGAGCUUGACUUGUUUCUUGAACACACCCCGGACAUUACCGACCUGAUCAUCCGGUUCACGGGGCCCGACAGAUGGAUCGUGCCAUCUAUCUCACCAUCCGUCUUAUUACCUAACCUGAGGCGGCUGUUGGUCGCCGAUGUGCCUUCGUCCUGGGACGUCUCUUGGCCCCGUCUUCUCUUUGAGACGGCGCCUUCCCUCGAGAGUUUUCACAUCCACAUUGCCUCUUGCAUGGAGGAGCCCAGUCCCAGUGAAGAAAUACCCUGGUGUCCGACAAAGUUUCGGCAGCAUCGCUUGAAGGAGUUUGUGAUGGCUGGUUUUGAGGCAACAGAAAGGCAGAUUUACCUUGUCAAGUUUGUCAUGGCCGUAUGCACGGCGUUGCGUCAUGUCAGCAUGUUCAAGAAUGGGCAUGCUCAGGACAAGGGGCACUGGGAAUGGGAGAUGGUGACACAGCAACACUCAUGGACUGAGGAGGAAAAGGACGACACGCUCAAGCAGAUUAUGGGCACGGCAUCUUCAACAGCAGCUCCGGUUCAACUGGUUUUAGGCUGAUCAUCGUGUGUUUGUGCCUGUCUUAUGAUCCUCUCAUAAUGCUUUUAUAGUAAUUUGUCUUGAAAAGAUUCAUCAUACGAGCUGUGGCAAGGGAAAACGUCAUGGCAUAAUGCCUGCCGCUAUUUCUACGUCGUCCCCCAAAUUUAAACUCCAAGCAAAAGCAAUUGAGAAAGGGGGGACGCCCCUGUCUCAGUCCCCAGCGAUGGAAGAAGGGGGUACCAGGAGCACAGUUUGAGGAGAAUCCGAGAUGAUGUGGAGGCGAGGGAGGUGUCGAUGAGAUCACUGCAGCACUGACUGAAGCCAACGUGGGCGAGGACUUGAAGAAGGGGCAAUAUGGUUAGCAAGGAAUUUUCCGAGGAUCUUGUCAACACCGUGAGUAAGGCUAAUGGGCAUUGUCUUUCUUUGGCACAAGCGCAGUGAUGGCGGUGUUGAGCAUGUUCCAGGUUGUAGCGUUCAGAGCAGAUAGCUGACUGAGGGCAUUCUGUAAAUCCAUCCUAAUUGUGUGCCAGCAACGUUUGAAGGAAAGGCCAAUGAAACUGUCAGGCCCAGAGGCGGGCCUUCUCAGCAGCAAUAUCUGUGAUGGUGGCACGGGUGAUCAAGAUGACCAAGGUGAGCACGAGGAAGAUUCAGAUAAUCCCAGUUUAUGCUCCCUGCAGAGUUAGUUGUCCCUUGUGCCCAGCGGAGAGUUGAAAUGUUCCAAGAGAGCAGCAGAUUUGUCGUUGUGACUAGAUACAAGAAUGUUCUUGUUAUCAAGGAAAGUAAUGUGCAAAUAUCUGGUGUUAGCAUCA